rnacentral:rRNA from 1 species
GAGUAAAGAUUUCGGUCGCUUUGGGAGGAGCUCGCUUACUAUCAGCUUGUUGGUAGGGUAAUGGCCUACCAAGGCUAUGACGGUUAGGGGGUGUGAGAGCAUGACCCCCAGCAUUGGCACUGAAACACUGGCCAAACACCUACGGGUGGCUGCGGUCGAGAAUCUUCCACAAUGGGGGAAACCCUGAUGGAGCGAUGCUGCGUGCGGGAUGAAGGCCUUCGGGUUGUAAACCGCUUUUGUAGGGGACGAAAUUUUUGACGGUACCCUUUCGAAUAAGAGGUUGCUAACUCUGUGCCAGCAGCAGCGGUAAUACAGAGACCUCAAGCGUUAUCCGGAUUUACUGGGCGUAAAGCGUCUGUAGGGGGUUUAUUAAGUUCCAAGUAAAAUUUCAAGGCUCAACUUUGAAUUCGCUUGGAAAACUAAUAAACUGGAGUCUAGCAGAGGUGCAUGGAACUUGUGGUGUAGGAGUGAAAUCCGUUGAUAUCACAAGGAACACCAAAGGCGAAGGCAUUGCACUGGGCUAGCACUGACCCUGAGAGACGAAAGCGUGGGGAGCAAAACGGAUUAGAUACCCGUGUAGUCCACGCCCUAAACGAUGAAUGCUAAAUGUUCGGGGAUUCGACCCCCUGGGUGUUACAGCUAACGCGUUAAGCAUUCCGCCUGGGAAGUACGGCCGCAAGGCUAAAACUCAAAGGAAUAGACGGGGAUCCGCACAAGCGGUGGAGCGUCUGGUUUAAUUCGACAGUAAGCGUGGUACCUCACCAGGGUUUGACAUCCCUUGACAGCCUUGGAAACAAGGUUUCCUUCGGGCAAGGUGACAGGUGCUGCAUGGUCGUCGUCAGUUCGUGCCGUGAGGUGUUCCGUUAAGUCGGGAAACGAACGAAACCCCUAUUGCAUGUUACAAUUUCUCAUGCAAGACUGCCCGGAUAUACUGGGAGGAAGGUGGGGAUGACGUCAGAUCUGCAUGGUCCUUAUACCCUGGGCGACACAGGCGCUACAAUGGCAGAGACAAAGGGUUGCAAAACCGCAAGGUGAAGCUAAUCCCAAAAACUUUGUCUAAGUUCGGAUUGAAGGCUGCAAUUCGCCUUCAUGAAGCUGGGAUCGCUAGUAAUCGUGAAUCAGCCACGUCACGGUGAAUAUGUUCCCGGAUCUUGUACUCACCGCCCGUCACACCAAGAGAGUUGGUAGCUCCCGAAG